rfam:Gossypium raimondii Chr04_contig_776, whole genome shotgun sequence.
AUUCUAUGAUGAGGGCACCUUCAUAAUAAUUCUUUGUACCUUUCCCAUUCCUCAUACAAUGAUUCUUCAUCCAUUUGUUGGAAAGCAGUGAUCUUGUUCCUCAACUU